rnacentral:rRNA from 1 species
GAUGAACGCUGGCGGCGUGCCUAAUACAUGCAAGUCGAACGCACAGCGAAAGGUGCUUGCACCUUUCAAGUGAGUGGCGAACGGGUGAGCAACACGUGGAUAACCUACCUCAAGGUUGGGGAUAACAUUUGGAAACAGAUGCUAAUACCGAAUAAAACUUAGUAUCGCAUGAUACCAGGUUAAAAGGCGCUACGGCGUCACCUAGAGAUGGAUCCGCGGUGCAUUAGUUAGUUGGUGGGUAAAGGCUUACCAAGACAAUGAUGCAUAGCCGAGUUGAGAGACUGAUCGGCCACAUUGGACUGAGACACGGCCCAAACUCCUACGGGAGGCUGCAGUACGGGAAUCUUCCACAAUGGGCGAAAGCCUGAUGGAGCAACGCC